rnacentral:lncRNA from 1 species
AGACAUCGCUGCGGCCGGGAUAGGGCGCCGCCGUUCUGGCCGGCUUUCUCGGUGCCCUGGAGGACCUGGCCGGCUCCGCGGGAAGCUGUACUCAGAGCGCGCGGCCGCCCUCUGGCAGGGAGGAGUUCGUUGCACUUUUGAGGGUUCUUCACGAAGACAUCCAAUACAUAGAAAACAAGUAACAGCAACAGUAACGAAUUUUUAAAUAUUAAAAUUGCUGGGGAACACGACGGAUCCUGCAGCUGCUCGGCUGUCCCGGUCGUCAGUGACGCUAGGGCUCCGCACCGUACCCUGCAUACCGUAGGUGCUCACGAAACGUUCGUGAGUUCCCUGCUCUGAGGAAACAAGCUUAAAAACUCAGAAUCUAAGGUGUGAGUCUCCGCAAACCUGCUUGUUGGGCAGCGUCCCCCGCCCGGGCUAGCCCUGCACGCCCCACCCCGGAGCCACGCUUCUCCAGCCGGGACCCCUGCCUCCUUCCAGGCUAUUCUCGGAACCGCAGCCAGAGGGAAUUUUUUUUUCCUUUCCUGAAACGUAGAGCAGAUCUGGUUACUCUUCUGCACAACGCCCUAAAAUCUAGGGCCCUUCCCAUCCCUCAGAAUUUACAUCUAAUUCUCAGCUCCCCUCCGGCUUGCUGUAGCCAUCCUGGCUUUUGUUUAGCACAGCACUUACUGUUAGUGACAUUAUAUUGUAUAUUAUUAACAUAUUUGUGUUUUACAUCCCUCACUAGACCCCCAGGAAAGAGGCUUUGAUGUGUUGCCUGCUGCAAGGCUGGCUGCAUAAUUUGUGGAGCUCAGAGAAAAGUGCGGAGCUUCCUUGUUCAAAAAACAGAAAGAAAGUGCCUCUGAGGUCAUAAAAUAUAAAACUUUCUCUUUCCUCUCAGUUUCUCUCUUUUCAUAGUGUUUUUAUGUGUUAUUUAAUAUCAUUCCAAGAAAAAUUUAGAUUUAAAUUGUUAGCAUGAAGUUCACCAUCCAUCUUUACGUUGUGCAAUGCCAGUUUUAAAUACUAAUAUAAGUGCACUGAUCUCAUAUGUGGAAUCACAGAAAUUAUGCAAUUUGUACUUCAUAGCUUAUACAUGCAUAUAGAUUUUGUUUUUACCAGAACCACGCUGGUAAAAACAGAUGCUGCACAAAGUGAACUUGCCCGUUUUCAUCGCACUUUACGUGCACGAAUUCUACCUCUACUCUCGACCUGGGACUCACCGAUGCGUAAGGAAGGACUGAAAAGCAAAAGAACUAUGGACUGGCCUUUUGGCAUGAUCAGGUGUCUAAUAUAAAGAAGUGCAUGAAUAAGAAAAUAUAUGAUAUGAGUGAUGGUUAAUACUGACUGUCAACUUGAUUGGAUUGAAGGAUGCAAAGUAUUGAUCCUGGGUGUGUCUGUGAGGGUGUUGCCAAAGGAGAUUAACAUUUGAGUCAGUGGGCUGGGAAAGUUCGACCCACUGUUAAUCUAGAUGGACACCAUCUAAUCAGAUGCCAGUGCAGCUAGAAAUGUAAAGCAGACAGAAAAAUGCGAAAAGAGAGACUGGCCUAGCCUGCCAGCCUACAUCUUUCUCCCACGCUGGAUGCUUCCUGCCCUCGAACAUCAGACUCCAAGUUCUUCAGUUUGGGACUUGGACUGGCUCUCCUUGUUCCUCAGCUUGAAGACUGCCCAUUGUGGGACUUGUGAUCAUGUGCCAUGAUAAAUAAGCCAGUUUGAGUCACUUGGUCUAAUAUCGAGACCACGAACAUAUUGAUCACAGAAUGUGUUAGGUAAGCAUGUUGUUGACUGAAGUGUAAGUAAGGUGCUCACCUUAAAUGCAUGUGCCAACAUCAGCAUCUUCAGAAGAGUCUCUUUCCCUUUGGGACAUCGAGGUGACUGACAGUUAAACAAGCCGUAUUUGGAGUAGGUGUACAAUCAGCCUCCUUCCAGUUCUCCUUGGCACUUUCCAGUUCACAAAGGACACUUCACUCCUUUUUGGUUUUUUUGAGACAGGGUCUCACUCUGUCACCCAGGCUAGAGUACGGUGGUGAGAUCACCCCUCACUGCAACCUCCGUCUCCUGGGCUCAAGUGAUCCUCCCACCUCAGCCUCCCAAGUAGCUGGUACCACAGGUGCAUGCCACCACACCUGGCUGAUUUUUGUAUUUUGUGUAGAAGGGGGUAUUGCCCUAUCGCCUAGGCUGGAAGGCUGUUAAGAGGAGAACUGAGCAAUGAGGAUCCCAUCCUGGACUUCGCAGACUUGCUGUGCUUUUGAAUGCUUCUCUCACGGUCAGAGCCUGCACUGGAAAAGAUGGCAUUUGGGACAACACACCUGGCUGCUGCCCCAGGAAGAAAGUAGUGAACACUGGAGGACUGUCAGCCCUGUCAGUUUCUGGAAAUGUGCCCUGAGUUUAAGUUCUGGUUUCAGAUUAUGAGGAGCAAAAUUACUGAGUAGGCCUCCUCCUAGAACAGGAAGCUCUUCCCGCUGUGGGCCAGUGGCUCUGACAUAUCACAGAGCCUGCUCUGAUGAAGGCAGCAGGAAUGAUUUCAAAACAAGCAAAACCAAAGAAAACUGUUUGACAAUGGAAGUAAUAGAGGCUCAUUUUAGAAAACAUAGACAUAAAGAAAAAAAGAAGAAUCUUCCAUAACCCACAGAUUAUAACUACUUACAUACCUUCCAGGCUUUAUUUCUCUUUUUUAAAAAACAAAUGUUAAAGUGGAAUUUACCUAUAAAAAAGAUACAGGUCCUAAGAGCACAGCUUGGCUUGAUCAAUUUUCUCAAGUUGAAUGCACCUGUGCAAUCAGUGCCAGGCUGAACACACAGCCUCAGCAGCGCCUGGAAGCUUUUCCAAGCCUCCUUAUUGUCAUCCCUCCCUCCCCAGGGGUAGCUGCGAUCACUGUAGCUUUGGUCUGAACUAUAUAUAAAUGCAAUCAUGCCACGUUAUGUUUCUGAGACUCACCCACACCCUGGCAAGCCAUUGCAGUUUGUUUAUUCUCAAUGUUCUACAAGCAGCAGUCCCCAAGCUUUUUGGCACCGGGGACCAGUCUCAUGGAGGACGAUUUUUCCGCAGACCAGGUGGGGAUGGUUUUGGAAUGAUUCAAGCACAUUCCAUUUAUUGUGCACUUUAUUUCUAUUACUGUUGCAUUGUAAUAUAUAAUGAAAUAAUUAUAUAACUCACCAUAAUGUAGAAUCAGUGGGAACCCUGAGCUUGUUUUCCCCCAUCUAGAUGGUUUCAUCUAGGGGUGGGGGGAUGAAAGACAGUGACAGAUUAUCAGGUAUUAGAUUCUCAUAAGAAGCUUGCAACCUGGAUUCUUCGCAUGCUUAGUUCACAGUAGGGUUCACGCUCCUAUGAGAAUCUAAUGCUGCCACAGAACUGACAGGAGGCAGAGCUCAGAUGGUAAUGCUCACUUGCCCACUGCUCACCUCCUGCUGUGCAGCCCUGUUCCUUACAGGCCAUGGACUGGUACCACACAACUAUUUGGCCAUAGCUACAAAAGCUGAUUACAGGUGUAAUUACAGAUUACAUCACUAUUACAUAGCCUACAAAGAGGUUUAAUUGGACUUAUAAGUCCACAUGACUAGGGAAGCUUCACAAUCAUGGCGGAAGGCAAGGAGGAGCAAGUCACAUCUUACAUGGAGGGCAGCAGGCAAAGAGAGAGCUUGUGCAGGGAGACUCAUUUUUCAAAACCAUCAGAUCUUGUGAGACUUAUUCACUAUCAUAAGAACAGUGUGGGAAUUACAAAUUACAUAGCUAUGUAGUUACAAAUUACAUAGCUAAUUACACCUGUAAUCAACUUUUGUAGCUAUGGCCAAAUAGUUUUCCCAAGUGGUUGCACCAAUUUACACUCCCACCAACAGUACAUGAUCCUGCUGGCAGCUCAAUCUACAUUCUUAUUAACUGCAUUAGUCCAUUUUCACGUUGCUGAUAAAGACAUACCUGAGACUGGGCAAUUUACAAAAGAAAGAGGUUUAAUUGGACUCACAGUGUGUGACUGGGGAAGCCUCACAAUCAUGGUGGAAGGCAAGGAGGAGCAAGUCACGUCUUAUGUGGAUGGCAGCAGGCAAAGAGAGAGCUUGUGCAGGGAGACUACCAUUUUUCAAAACCAUCAGAUCUUGUGAGACUUAUUCACUCUCAUGGAACAGCAUGGGAAAGACCUGCCCCCACAAUUCAAUUACCUCGCACCAGGUACCUCCCACAACACAUGGGAAUUCAAGAUGAGAUUUGGGUGGGGACACAGCCAAACCAUAUCAUCGACCCUUUGUUUUUCCCCAUCUUUUUCAUUUUAGCCAUUCUUUUCAUGUGUAUUAGACAUUUGGAUAGCCUCAUUUGUGAAAUGUCUCAUUUUUUCUACUAGGCUUUUCAUCUCUUUAUUGAUCUAAAACAUUUUUAAUAUAUUAGACAUAUGUAUUGCAAAUCUCUUCUUCUACUGUGGAAGUGGCUUUCAUUUCUAUUCAUUUCAGACUGUUUUAAUGCUAUCUUAUUUCUUUCUUUAUGAUUCAGCACUCUUUGUGUCCUGCUUAAGAACUCUUUGUCUAUUUCAUGUUCAUUAAAAUGUGAUUUUUUUCUACAGUCUUCAUUAUUUUUCCUUUAACAUUUAAAUUUAUAAUAAAUCUGGGUGUGAUUUUUAUACAGUGCAUUUUUCUUCCCAAGAUAUCCAGUUGUCUCAG